rnacentral:lncRNA from 1 species
AGUGAGUGAACUGCUGUGUCAGAUCUGUCAAGUUCUACUACACUGGGGAAGCGGAUAGGCGAGUGGUUAGAGCGCUGGGCUCCGAACACGGAGAGCGGUGGUUCGAUACCUGAGGAGCGCAGCAAACUUCCUUUAGUCGACUCAGCUGGCAAGAAUGGGUACUUGACUUCAUAGAGGGUUGAGGAAGUUGCAGUUCUCUGUGAUGUGUCAAUUCCCGAAAUAAAAGUCAUUUGGUUUGGGACCUUAAUCGGAACAGGAAGCUCACAUUCUCUUUCCGGUGGCAUCAGACAUCGUUAAAAAUCAGCAAGUCUUGACCUGAGCCGAGUGUCAUAUUGA